rnacentral:rRNA from 1 species
CGAUGGGCCGACGUCGCAUGCUCCCGGCCGCCAUGGUUAGUUUGAUCAUGGCUCAGAUUGAACGCUGGCGGCAGGCCUAACACAUGCAAGUCGAGCGGAUGAAAGGAGCUUGCUCCUGGAUUCAGCGGCGGACGGGUGAGUAAUGCCUAGGAAUCUGCCUGGUAGUGGGGGACAACGUUUCGAAAGGAACGCUAAUACCGCAUACGUCCUACGGGAGAAAGCAGGGGACCUUCGGGCCUUGCGCUAUCAGAUGAGCCUAGGUCGGAUUAGCUAGUCGGUGAGGUAAUGGCUCACCAAGGCGACGAUCCGUAACUGGUCUGAGAGGAUGAUCAGUCACACUGGAACUGAGACACGGUCCAGACUCCUACGGGAGGCAGCAGUGGGGAAUAUUGGACAAUGGGCGAAAGCCUGAUCCAGCCAUGCCGCGUGUGUGAAGAAGGUCUUCGGAUUGUAAAGCACUUUAAGUUGGGAGGAAGGGUUGUAGAUUAAUACUCUGCAAUUUUGACGUUACCGACAGAAUAAGCACCGGCUAACUCUGUGCCAGCAGCCGCGGUAAUACAGAGGGUGCAAGCGUUAAUCGGAAUUACUGGGCGUAAAGCGCGCGUAGGUGGUUUGUUAAGUUGGAUGUGAAAUCCCCGGGCUCAACCUGGGAACUGCAUCCAAAACUGGCAAGCUAGAGUAUGGUAGAGGGGGGGGUGGAAUUUCCUGUGUAGCGGUGAAAUGCGUAGAUAUAGGGAAGGAACACCAGUGGCGAAAGCGACCACCUGGA